GAUGAAGAACGCAGCAAAAUGCGAUAAGUAAUGUGAAUUGCAGAAUUCAGUGAAUCAUCGAAUCUUUGAACGCACAUUGCGCCCGCCAGUAUUCUGGCGGGCAUGCCUGUUCGAGCGUCAUUUCAACCCUCAAGCCCCCGGGUUUGGUGUUGGGGAUCGGGCUGUACUCCAGCCCGGCCCCGAAAUCUAGUGGCGGUCUCGCUGCAGCCUCCAUUGCGUAGUAGCUAACACCUCGCAACUGGAACGCGGCGCGGCCAAGCCGUUAAACCCCCAAAUUCUGAAUGUUGACCUCGGAUCAGGUAGGAAUACCCGCUGAACUUAAGCAUAUCAAUAAGCGGAGGA
rnacentral:misc_RNA from 1 species